rnacentral:rRNA from 1 species
AGUGAACGCUGGCGGCGUGCCUAAUACAUGCAAGUCGAACGGAGUGGCGCACGAGUGAGUAAUGUAUAGCUAAUCUGCCCUACACUAGAGGACAACAGUUGGAACCGACUGCUCAUACUCUAUAGUGUAGGAUGAGGCUCUAUUGUAUCAGCUAGUUGGUGAGGUAAUGGCUCACCAAGGUUAUGACGCAUAACUGGUCUGAGAGGAUGAGCAGGUACACUGUAACGGAGACACGGUACAGACUCCGACGGGAGGAAGCAGUAGGGAAGAUUGCUCAAUGGGGGAAACCCUGAGGCAGCAAGGGCGCGUGGAGGAUGACACUUUGUGGAGCGCAAACUCCGUCUGUGAGGGAAGCGGUACCUAAAGAAUAAGCACCGGCUAACUCCGUGCCAGCAGCCGCGGUAAUUC